GUGUACCACGCGUACACUCCGGAUCCGGCGCGCCGUCCACACCCCCAGACGACUGCCCGCGACGCUCCGUUAGCC
rnacentral:sRNA from 1 species